AGAGUUUGAUCCUGGCUCAGGACGAACGCUGGCGGCGUGCCUAAUACAUGCAAGUCGAGCGGACUUUUGGGAGCUUGCUCCCAAAAGUUAGCGGCGGACGGGUGAGUAACACGUGGGCAACCUGCCUAUAAGACUGGGAUAACUUCGGGAAACCGGAGCUAAUACCGGAUAAUUCCUUUCCUCUCAUGAGGGAAGGCUGAAACACGGUUUACGCUGUCACUUAUAGACGGGCCCGCGGCGCAUUAGCUAGUUGGUGAGGUAACGGCUCACCAAGGCAACGAUGCGUAGCCGACCUGAGAGGGUGAUCGGCCACACUGGGACUGAGACACGGCCCAGACUCCUACGGGAGGCAGCAGUAGGGAAUCUUCCGCAAUGGACGAAAGUCUGACGGAGCAACGCCGCGUGAGUGAUGAAGGUUUUCGGAUCGUAAAAUCUCUGUUGUUAGGGAAGAACAAGUACCAGUUAACUGCUGGUACCUUGACGGUACCUACCAGAAAGCC
rnacentral:rRNA from 1 species